GAGUUUGAUCAUGGCUCAGAACGAACGCUGGCGGCGUGGAUAAGACAUGCAAGUCGAACGGGAGAAUUGCUAGCUUGCUAAUAAUUCUCUAGUGGCGCACGGGUGAGUAACACGUGAGUAACCUGCCCCCGAGAGCGGGAUAGCCCUGGGAAACUGGGAUUAAUACCGCAUAGUAUCGAAAGAUUAAAGCAGCAAUGCGCUUGGGGAUGGGCUCGCGGCCUAUUAGUUAGUUGGUGAGGUAACGGCUCACCAAGGCGAUGACGGGUAGCCGGUCUGAGAGGAUGUCCGGCCACACUGGAACUGAGACACGGUCCAGACACCUACGGGUGGCAGCAGUCGAGAAUCAUUCACAAUGGGGGAAACCCUGAUGGUGCGACGCCGCGUGGGGAAUGAAGGUCUUCGGAUUGUAAACCCCUGUCAUGUGGGAGCAAAUUAAAAAGAUAGUACCACAAGAGGAAGAGACGGCUAACUCUGUGCCAGCCGCCGCCGUAAG
rnacentral:rRNA from 1 species